rnacentral:snRNA from 1 species
AGCAGCUGACGGUCCAGCAUCUUCGCAUCACGUUCUCGCCUUUUACUAGAGCAUGCCGUGUCGGGCCGUCGCUUGCAGCUGCUUUCCCGAAUUUCUCGCUUCACAGCCUUGUCUGUGCG